rnacentral:misc_RNA from 1 species
AAUUCUGCAAGAUUCUUUUUUUUCCAAGGACCAUAAAGAUCAGAAUUCUUUCUCUCGGGGAGUACACAUAAGAGAAAUUGUGGUUGUCCAGGAAGUUUAGACUGAACUUCCUCAAACAUCUUCUCAACUCUAACCAUGGGUGGUGCACGUCUGAACUGUGGAUUUUCUUCAAAAACAUCAAAAGGAGCAUCUAUUGCAAUGCCUUUCAUAUCACCACAUUUGAUAAGGUCUCUAACAAGGCCACGUAAAUCACAGCGUGCUGAAAAGUUCACGACAGCCCAUCGCUCUAUUUUGAUAGGUUGAGCCAAUUUCUUAUUAUUGAAAUUCCACCGGCCAUUACGAGGAAAAAAAUCUUCCCCGUUCCCCACUUUCAACUUGGGUGCAGGUAGAACACGCCCUUCAACUUGAACGAAGUUUGAAUUAAUAGCGAU